rnacentral:rRNA from 1 species
AACGAACGCUGGCGGCAUGCCUAACACAUGCAAGUCGAACGAGACCUUCGGGUCUAGUGGCGCACGGGUGCGUAACGCCUGGGAACCUGCCCUUAGGUUCGGAAUAACUCCCCUAAAGUGGUGCUAAUACCGGAUAAUGUCUUCGGACCAAAGAUUUAUCGCCUUUGGAUGGGCCCGCGUUGGAUUAGCUAGUUGGUAGGGUAAAAGCCUACCAAGGCGACGAUCCAUAGCUGGUCUGAGAGGAUGAUCAGCCACACUGGGACUGAGACACGGCCCAGACUCCUACGGGAGGCAGCAGUGGGGAAUAUUGGACAAUGGGCGAAAGCCUGAUCCAGCAAUGCCGCGUGAGUGAUGAAGGCCUUAGGGUUGUAAAGCUCUUUUACCCGGGAUGAUAAUGACAGUACCGGGAGAAUAAGCUCCGGCUAACUCCGUG